rnacentral:rRNA from 1 species
AUUGAACGCUGGCGGCAUGCCUUACACAUGCAAGUCGAACGGUAACAGGUCUUCGGAUGCUGACGAGUGGCGAACGGGUGAGUAAUACAUCGGAACGUGCCCGAUCGUGGGGGAUAACGGAGCGAAAGCUUUGCUAAUACCGCAUACGAUCUACGGAUGAAAGCAGGGGACCGCAAGGCCUUGCGCGGACGGAGCGGCCGAUGGCAGAUUAGGGAGUUGGUGGGAUAAAAGCUUACCAAGCCGACGAUCUGUAGCUGGUCUGAGAGGACGACCAGCCACACUGGGACUGAGACACGGCCCAGACUCCUACGGGAGGCAGCAGUGGGGAAUUUUGGACAAUGGGCGCAAGCCUGAUCCAGCCAUGCCGCGUGCAGGAUGAAGGCCUUCGGGUUGUAAACUGCUUUUGUACGGAACGAAACGGCUCCUUCUAAUAAAGGGGGCUAAUGACGGUACCGUAAGAAUAAGCACCGGCUAACUACGUGCCAGCCGCCGCGGUAAAAC